CUGGUACAGAGACUUUAUCUUUCACACUGACUUCAAAUAUCUUUGGGAAUUUGUGCUCCUUAUUUACUGAGUGCUUGAGAAGAAAAGACAAAGCCAGUGGAAUGGUCCGAGUGUGGCAUCCGCUGCAUUUAUAAAGAAUAAGAGCUGCAGUGGGUGUGAUUCUUGGACAGAGUGGCACUCAUCCUUGUUCCUGCAAUGAAGGACAUGCCAGCCUCCAGGCUCUUUGACAGAUGAUUGGAACUGUGCAAAUAUUAUGGAAGAUACCCCGUGUCAAGAAGCUGACAGCACACACGUUUGGGAAGGAUUUAGUGGCUGAAGCACUUCUAGAAGACAUCACCAAAAUGAAGCAGUCUACUAUCAGCAAAGAAUGCCAGAGCAAGAGUGUGGAACAGAGAGCACAGAGCCGUGAUGCUGCCCCCUGCCGGUGGUACAAGAGAAAGGACACAACCUCAGUCUACGAUUCCUGCCAAGAGUAUCAGCCACACUAGAAACUAAAGGGUGAAAACAGGGUUUCUCUGCUGCAAUUCCAUCUCUUCCUCUAGAAACUUGUCGUAGGAAUGACUCCCUGUAACUUCCCACACCUGCCUCUUCUUUCCUUAAGUGGUGGCUAACAGAAUCCCCUUCCUUCCUCGGUCCUUGCUAAGUGACUGAAUUCAGAAACUCCUGGACAAUAUUACAACCAACUGUAUUAUUGGUCUUUGGAGCUCUAGACUUAUUUUAGAAAGAAAAUUGUGGCAAAUCAUCCAAGAAUUUUCCUGUGCACAGCACAGGGGUCUGUUUCUCUUACCAUCAGAAAGGGAUUCAUAGUCAUAAUCAUAUUCGUCCUCCUCAUCUUCCUCUUCCUCAUUAUUGGCAGAUGGGGGGUUGGCAUUCCCACCAUUAUAAGCCUGUGCUUGCAUAGAUGCUAACUGAUGAGC